CUUCUAUUUCAUGUAUAUUUUAAUUCACCGAUCAACAUCCCAUUAAAUCUCCUAGCAAAUAUUCACCAUUUAUACACGUCUCCCUUCCAUUUCCUCUUCCAAAUUCAUAAAUGAAAUUCAAGCAAAGAAAUGAGGGAAUAAGCAGAGAAUUUCCAAGAGGGUUUAUAAAGCUUUCUCCUGAAGUUUCAACUUACGAUAGUUAAAUGUAAAAGAAACAAAAAGAGCAAGAGUAAGUACGUAGCUUCUGGUCAAGGGGCUGACCGACGGCAGCGCAAAUCAGAGCCAGCAGCAACAAGCCGCGACAAUGAUAGCUCAGCAGUGAGUUUCCACAGAAGGCGACGGCGACGAGCUUGCUGGAAAAACGGGCGCUCAUUGCGAGAGACGCCGGGACCCUGUGCACAGGAGAUGGACGUGGCGCUGUGAACGGCCGAGCAGCUGGAGGCGGGUCGGAGACUGUGCAAAUCCAGAAACCGUAAUCGGCGAGGUGGAAUUGGCUGGAGACGGCACUGGGACGCCAAGCGUCGAGAAUCACCGAGAGAGAGAAGAAGAGACUUGGUUCUCUCUGAAUUUCACAUCUGAGAGAGAUGAGAAACAGAGGUGCGCCAAUGAGGAGCCACCAACGGCCUGAUGGCGUCGGCUGGAGCACUCGUCGGCGGUGGUGGUUGAGAGAAAGAGGAAUAGAAGCAGAUAUUCGAUUUUUGUGGUUUUCAAAGUGUGGGAGAAGGAGAAGACGCCAUGUAAAAGUUGAUGAACUAAUUUAAUUAUGUUGGACUCCCUUUGGAAAAUUAAUAAAGUAAUUGAAUGGAACUUGGGCCACGUAA